GUUCGUGGAAUAAUCUGUCUGCUUAAUUGCGUUUUUUCAAUUGUGCCUUGAUGCCCAAUACGCCAAUCCGUUCUUGUGUUUGUCUUUUGACCUCACUUGUCUGGUCACUUCGGUGUCAGCUUGUGUUGUCUGCUUGCGCAGGUCGGUGAGGUGGGUUUUCAGGGCCUUCUGGAACGAACGAGACCCCAACCCUUCUUUUUCAAUGUCAUACAACGAUUUGUUGUUACUUAUUUUGUCUUUCAGUCCUGUGAUGAACCUCUCCGGAGGUGAUUUGCAGGCAUUGGAUUUCAAUUUUACGACACUGUUAACAGAAGGGGACUGUUGCAUCCUAAUGCAAAGGAAGGUUGGGGCAAUAACAGGU
rnacentral:rRNA from 1 species